rnacentral:rRNA from 1 species
GGGUUGUGAGGUUAAGCGACUAAGCGUACACGGUGGAUGCCCUGGCAGUCAGAGGCGAUGAAGGGCGUGCUAAUCUGCGAUAAGCGCCGGUAAGGUGAUAUGAACCGUUAUAACCGGCGAUACCCGAAUGGGGAAACCCAGUGUGAUUCGUCACACUAUCAUUAACUGAAUCCAUAGGUUAAUGAGGCGAACCGGGGGAACUGAAACAUCUAAGUACCCCGAGGAAAAGAAAUCAACCGAGAUUCCCCCAGUAGCGGCGAGCGAACGGGGAGGAGCCCAGAGCCUGAAUCAGCAUGUGUGUUAGUGGAAGCGUCUGGAAAGGCGCGCGAUACAGGGUGACAGCCCCGUACACAAAAGCGCAUGUGCUGUGAGCUCGAUGAGUAGGGCGGGACACGUGGUAUCCUGUCUGAAUAUGGGGGGACCAUCCUCCAAGGCUAAAUACUCCUGACUGACCGAUAGUGAACCAGUACCGUGAGGGAAAGGCGAAAAGAACCCCGGCGAGGGGAGUGAAAAAGAACCUGAAACCGUGUACGUACAAGCAGUGGGAGCACAGGUUUACCUGUGUGACUGCGUACCUUUUGUAUAAUGGGUCAGCGACUUAUAUUCUGUAGCAAGGUUAACCGAAUAGGGGAGCCGGAGGGAAACCGAGUCUUAAUUGGGCGUUAAGUUGCAGGGUAUAGACCCGAAACCCGGUGAUCUAGCCAUGGGCAGGUUGAAGGUUGGGUAACACUAACUGGAGGACCGAACCGACUAAUGUUGAAAAAUUAGCGGAUGACCUGUGGCUGGGGGUGAAAGGCCAAUCAAACCGGGAGAUAGCUGGUUCUCCCCGAAAGCUAUUUAGGUAGCGCCUCGUGAAUUCAUCUCCGGGGGUAGAGCACUGUUUCGGCUAGGGGGCCAUCCCGGCUUACCAACCCGAUGCAAACUGCGAAUACCGGAGAAUGUUAUCACGGGAGACACACGGCGGGUGCUAACGUCCGUCGUGAAGAGGGAAACAACCCAGACCGCCAGCUAAGGUCCCAAAGUCAUGGUUAAGUGGGAAACGAUGUGGGAAGGCCCAGACAGCCAGGAUGUUGGCUUAGAAGCAGCCAUCAUUUAAAGAAAGCGUAAUAGCUCACUGGUCGAGUCGGCCUGCGCGGAAGAUGUAACGGGGCUAAACCAUGCACCGAAGCUGCGGCAGCGANNGUUGGGUAGGGGAGCGUUCUGUAAGCCUGUGAAGGUGGCCUGUGAGGGUUGCUGGAGGUAUCAGAAGUGCGAAUGCUGACAUAAGUAACGAUAAAGCGGGUGAAAAGCCCGCUCGCCGGAAGACCAAGGGUUCCUGUCCAACGUUAAUCGGGGCAGGGUGAGUCGACCCCUAAGGCGAGGCCGAAAGGCGUAGUCGAUGGGAAACGGGUUAAUAUUCCCGUACUUGGUGUUACUGCGAAGGGGGGACGGAGAAGGCUAUGUUGGCCGGGCGACGGUUGUCCCGGUUUAAGCGUGUAGGUGUGUGUUCCAGGUAAAUCCGGUUCACUUUAACACUGAGGCGUGAUGACGAGGCACUACGGUGCUGAAGUAACAAAUGCCCUGCUUCCAGGAAAAGCCUCUAAGCAUCAGGUAACAUCAAAUCGUACCCCAAACCGACACAGGUGGUCAGGUAGAGAAUACCAAGGCGCUUGAGAGAACUCGGGUGAAGGAACUAGGCAAAAUGGUGCCGUAACUUCGGGAGAAGGCACGCUGACACGUAGGUGAAGUGAUUUACUCAUGGAGCUGAAGUCAGUCGAAGAUACCAGCUGGCUGCAACUGUUUAUUAAAAACACAGCACUGUGCAAACACGAAAGUGGACGUAUACGGUGUGACGCCUGCCCGGUGCCGGAAGGUUAAUUGAUGGGGUCAGCGCAAGCGAAGCUCCUGAUCGAAGCCCCGGUAAACGGCGGCCGUAACUAUAACGGUCCUAAGGUAGCGAAAUUCCUUGUCGGGUAAGUUCCGACCUGCACGAAUGGCGUAAUGAUGGCCAGGCUGUCUCCACCCGAGACUCAGUGAAAUUGAACUCGCUGUGAAGAUGCAGUGUACCCGCGGCAAGACGGAAAGACCCCGUGAACCUUUACUAUAGCUUGACACUGAACAUUGAGCCUUGAUGUGUAGGAUAGGUGGGAGGCUUUGAAGUGUGGACGCCAGUCUGCAUGGAGCCGACCUUGAAAUACCACCCUUUAAUGUUUGAUGUUCUAACGUGGACCCGUGAUCCGGGUUGCGGACAGUGUCUGGUGGGUAGUUUGACUGGGGCGGUCUCCUCCUAAAGAGUAACGGAGGAGCACGAAGGUUGGCUAAUCCUGGUCGGACAUCAGGAGGUUAGUGCAAUGGCAUAAGCCAGCUUGACUGCGAGCGUGACGGCGCGAGCAGGUGCGAAAGCAGGUCAUAGUGAUCCGGUGGUUCUGAAUGGAAGGGCCAUCGCUCAACGGAUAAAAGGUACUCCGGGGAUAACAGGCUGAUACCGCCCAAGAGUUCAUAUCGACGGCGGUGUUUGGCACCUCGAUGUCGGCUCAUCACAUCCUGGGGCUGAAGUAGGUCCCAAGGGUAUGGCUGUUCGCCAUUUAAAGUGGUACGCGAGCUGGGUUUAGAACGUCGUGAGACAGUUCGGUCCCUAUCUGCCGUGGGCGCUGGAGAACUGAGGGGGGCUGCUCCUAGUACGAGAGGACCGGAGUGGACGCAUCACUGGUGUUCGGGUUGUCAUGCCAAUGGCACUGCCCGGUAGCUAAAUGCGGAAGAGAUAAGUGCUGAAAGCAUCUAAGCACGAAACUUGCCCCGAGAUGAGUUCUCCCUGAGACUUUAAGUCUCCUGAAGGAACGUUGAAGACGACGACGUUGAUAGGCCGGGUGUGUAAGCGCAGCGAUGCGUUGAGC